rnacentral:rRNA from 1 species
CCUACGGGAGGCAGCAGUGAGGAAUAUUGGUCAAUGGGCGCGAGCCUGAACCAGCCAAGUAGCGUGAAGGAUGACUGCCCUACGGGUUGUAAACUUCUUUUAUAAAGGAAUAAAGUGAGGCACGUGUGCCUUUUUGUAUGUACUUUAUGAAUAAGGCUCGGCUAACUCCGUGCCAGCAGCCGCGGUAAUACGUAGGAUUCGAGCGUUAUCCGGAUUUAUUGGGUUUAAAGGGAGCGUAGAUGGGUGGUUAAGUCAGUUGUGAAAGUUUGCGGCUCAACCGUAAAAUUGCAAUUGAUACUGGCAGUCUUGAGUACAGUUGAGGUAGGCGGAAUUCGUGGUGUAGCGGUGAAAUGCUUAGAUAUCACGAAGAACUCCGAUUGCGAAGGCAGCUUACUAAACUGCCACUGACAUUGAUGCUCGAAAGUGUGGGGAGCAAACAGGAUUAGAUACCCCUGUAGUC